GUGGGGAAUAUUGGACAAUGGGCGAAAGCCUGAUCCAGCCAUGCCGCGUGUGUGAAGAAGGUCUUCGGAUUGUAAAGCACUUUAAGUUGGGAGGAAGGGUAGUAACCUAAUACGUUGCUACUUUGACGUUACCGACAGAAUAAGCACCGGCUAACUUCGUGCCAGCAGCCGCGGUAAUACGAAGGGUGCAAGCGUUAAUCGGAAUUACUGGGCGUAAAGCGCGCGUAGGUGGUUUUGUAAGUUGGAGGUGAAAUCCCCGGGCUCAACCUGGGAACUGCCUCCAAAACUGCAUGACUAGAGUACGGUAGAGGGUAGUGGAAUUUCCUGUGUAGCGGUGAAAUGCGUAGAUAUAGGAAGGAACACCAGUGGCGAAGGCGACCACCUGGACUGAUACUGACACUGAGGUGCGAAAGCGUGGGGAGCAAACAGGAUUAGAAACCCUUGUAGUCC
rnacentral:rRNA from 1 species